GGGAGUGUACGCGGCUCUGGUGACCGCCACGGGCUUCAAACCCGGUGUGACGCCUGCAAAGACGUCAGGUGGGUUCGAUUCCCAUCCACUCCCG
rnacentral:tRNA from 1 species